GCGGACGCUGCCUACUGGUGGCCGGGCGGGAUGUAACCGGCUGCUGAGCUGGCAGUUCUGUGUCGCUAGGCUUCUGCCCGGCCGCCGCCGCACAUAAGCCACGAGGAGGAGCUUUACGACUUCCCGGUCUUCGGCGCCGGGCGCAGCAAGGGCCAGACUCUGCGCUAGCAGGCGCUGCGCGCCAACCGGCCGGCACCUGUCGCAGAAGGUGCAACCGAUCGCACUGUCGCGCAGAAGCUCCUCAAUGGCCAGCGCCAGCUGCAGCCCCGGCCGCCCACUCGCCUCAUCUGAGCCUGGCAGAAGGUAAGCAUGAGCAAAUUACUUUUUAGAGGUAACUUUGCUGAACUUGUGAAGAAUGGUGUGCAAGGUCCAGAGCGACUGCAGGAGAGGGAAGGUGGGAUUCCCACAGAGCAGGAGCACAGAUAAGCCAAGCAAGGCCCUGCUUGGAAGGCAGCAAUCAACAGAGAUGCACAGACCUGUGAGGGUGCCGGGACAGCCAUGCAACAAUGCAGCCCUUUUGCUUCCUGAGCUCACCAGUUCCCUCGCUCCACCUCUGAGAGGUGGUUUGGAGAAACACAGCCCUUCUCAAGAGGGCUGCAAGCUACUUAAGUCCUGAAAAUUUCCACAAGGCUGAGUCAAAUCUGCGUUUCAUCAUCUAUAAGAAAGAGCAGACCACAAAGAGCAUGUCUGGACCUAGAACCACAGCAUGUAACCUCGGAAGCAGUGAGACACCAGCCAGCAUGGACAAGCAGCAGGCACUUGCUCUAUACCAGAUAUGCUGCAUGAUAGAACGCUAUGCCCUCUCACAGAUAGGUCCCACCUCCAGCCUUCCCCUGCUGCCAUCUAACAUCCUAAACUCCAGCUCUGAAUGUCUGUCUCCUGCUCUGAAUCUUCAGUGACUUCGAAACUCAAGUCAGGACACCUCUCAGUUUGGCCUCACUGCUCAAGAUUGAGCUGAAUUCAUGACCAUAAUUCAAGCAUUCAGAUUCAUGGGCUGUUUUGUGGGUUUUGCUAUCUCUUAUUUUGUUUUUGCACAUCUUACCCACUGAAACGUUGGGCUGCAAAAAGUUUGAUCACUAAAUAUGUAGGCAAUGCUGGAUACUGGGCUGUUAUUUACAUAUUUGUAUCACCUUUUAUUUCAUAAGAUAGCAUUGUCAGAGUAAUUUAGUAUUUCAACAUAAUCAACAAGUAAAAUAAAAUUAAUGAGAAUGAUC
ensembl:lncRNA LINC01409 long intergenic non-protein coding RNA 1409